rnacentral:rRNA from 1 species
UAGAGUUUGAUCCUGGCUCAGAAUGAACGUUGGCGGCGUGGAUUAGGCAUGCAAGUCGCGCGCCCCGCAAGGGGAGCGGCGCAAGGGUGAGUAAGGCGACGGUAACCAACCCCACAAAUGGGCAUAGCCGCGGGAAACUGCGGGUAAUUCCCAGCGAUGUCAGAGACGGGCAUCCGUUUUUGACCAAAGUUCCGGCGUUGUGGGACGGGCCGUUGUGGUAUUAGCUUGUUGGCGGGGUGACGGCCCACCAAGGCUGCGAUGCCUACCGGGCGUGCGAGCGUGGCCCGGCACACUGGGACUGAGACACUGCCCAGACUCCUACGGGAGGCUGCAGUCGAGAAUCUUCGGCAAUGGGCGCAAGCCUGACCGAGCGACGCCGCGUGGAGGACGAAGGCCUUCGGGUUGUAAACUCCUGUCGAGGGGGAGGAAGGCGUAAGCUUGACCGAUCCCUGGAGGAAGCACGGGCUAAGUUCGUGCCAGCAGCCGCGGUAAUACA